rnacentral:rRNA from 1 species
GACGAACGCUGGCGGCGUGCUUAACACAUGCAAGUCGAACGGAAAGGCCCUGCUUGCAGGGUACUCGAGUGGCGAACGGGUGAGUAACACGUGGGUGAUCUGCCCUGCACUUCGGGAUAAGCCUGGGAAACUGGGUCUAAUACCGGAUAGGAGCCACUUUUAGUGUGAUGGUUGGAAAGUUUUUUCGGUGUAGGAUGAGCUCGCGGCCUAUCAGCUUGUUGGUGGGGUAAUGGCCUACAAAGGCGGCGACGGGUAGCCGGCCUGAGAGGGUGGACGGCCACAUUGGGACUGAGAUACGGCCCAGACUCCUACGGGAGGCAGCAGUGGGGAAUAUUGCACAAUGGGCGCAAGCCUGAUGCAGCGACGCCGCGUGGGGGAUGACGGCCUUCGGGUUGUAAACUCCUUUCGCUAGGGACGAAGCUUUUUGUGACGGUACCUAGAUAAGAAGCACCGGCUAACUACGUG